rnacentral:rRNA from 1 species
UACGUAGGCAGCGAGCGUUGUUCGGAGUUACUGGGCGUAAAGGGUGUGUAGGCGGUUGUUUAAGUUUGGUGUGAAAUCUCCCGGCUCAACUGGGAGGGUGCGCCGAAUACUGAAUGACUUGGAGUGCGGGAGAGGAGAGUGGAAUUCCUGGUGUAGCGGUGAAAUGCGUAGAUAUCGGAAGGAACACCAGUGGCGAAAGCGGCUUCCUGGUCCGACACCGACGUUCAGGCACGAAAGCGUGGGGAGCAAACAGG